rnacentral:rRNA from 1 species
AUACGGAGGGGGCUAGCGUUGUUCGGAAUUACUGGGCGUAAAGCGCGCGUAGGCGGAUCGGUUAGUUGGGGGUGAAAUCCCGGGGCUCAACCCCGGAACUGCCCUCAAUACUGCCAAUCUAGAGAUCGAGAGAGGUGAGUGGAAUUCCUAGUGUAGAGGUGAAAUUCGUAGAUAUUAGGAAGAACACCAGUGGCGAAGGCGGCUUACUGGCUCGAUACUGACGCUGAGGCGCGAAAGCGUGGGGAGCAAACAGGAUUAGAAACCCCAGUAGUCC